GUAAGGAAUAUUGGUCAAUGGGCGCAAGCCUGAACCAGCCAUGCCGCGUGCAGGAAGACGGCCCUAUGGGUUGUAAACUGCUUUUAUACGGGAAUAAACCUCCUUACGUGUAGGGAGCUGAAUGUACUGUAAGAAUAAGGAUCGGCUAACUCCGUGCCAGCAGCCGCGGUAAUACGGAGGAUCCAAGCGUUAUCCGGAUUUAUUGGGUUUAAAGGGUGCGUAGGCGGCUUAUUAAGUCAGGGGUGAAAGACGGUGGCUCAACCAUCGCAGUGCCUUUGAUACUGAUGAGCUUGAAUUUACCUGAGGUAGGCGGAAUGUGACAAGUAGCGGUGAAAUGCAUAGAUAUGUCACAGAACACCAAUUGCGAAGGCAGCUUACUAAAGUAGUAUUGACGCUGAGGCACGAAAGCGUGGGGAUCAAACAGGAUUAGAUACCCCAGUAGUCC
rnacentral:rRNA from 1 species